GUAAAUUACAUUUACAUAUCAAUUGAGCUGUGGAAUUGGCCAAUUACAACAUGGGAACAAAUUCCUUUAAAUAGAGAAGAUACUGACAUCACAUUAGACUAGGUUUGUAAGACACACACACCCUGCACACAACAUCUCACGGCACAUACACAAUGUAGCAGGUAUUAUUAGAUAGAUGGAAUGUUUGAGUGUUAUGAAUGUAUUGUAACUGUAAUACUAUAACUCUGUAACAUUCUAAUUCUGU